rnacentral:rRNA from 1 species
UUAUUUGAGAGUUUGAUCCUGGCUCAGGAUGAACGCUGGCGGCGUGCCUAACACAUGCAAGUUGAGCGAUUUACUUCGGUAAAGAGCGGCGGACGGGUGAGUAACGCGUGGGUAACCUACCCUGUACACACGGAUAACAUACCGAAAGGUAUGCUAAUACGGGAUAACAUAUUUGAGAGGCAUCUCUUAAAUAUCAAAGGUGAGCCAGUACAGGAUGGACCCGCGUCUGAUUAGCUAGUUGGUAAGGUAACGGCUUACCAAGGCGACGAUCAGUAGCCGACCUGAGAGGGUGAUCGGCCACAUUGGAACUGAGACACGGUCCAAACUCCUACGGGAGGCAGCAGUGGGGAAUAUUGCACAAUGGGCGAAAGCCUGAUGCAGCAACGCCGCGUGAGUGAUGAAGGCCUUCGGGUCGUAAAACUCUGUCCUCAAGGAAGAUAAUGACGGUACUU